CAGUCGCCGCGGGAAUACGUAGGGUGCAAGCGUUAAUCGGAAUUACUGGGCGUAAAGCGUGCGCAGGCGGUUAUAUAAGACAGAUGUGAAAUCCCCGGGCUCAACCUGGGAACUGCAUUUGUGACUGUAUAGCUAGAGUACGGCAGAGGGGGAUGGAAUUCCGCGUGUAGCAGUGAAAUGCGUAGAUAUGCGGAGGAACACCGAUGGCGAAGGCAAUCCCCUGGGCCUGUACUGACGCUCAUGCACGAAAGCGUGGGGAGCAAACAGGAUUAGAUACCCCGGUAGUCCCUGUCUCUUAUAC
rnacentral:rRNA from 1 species